rnacentral:rRNA from 11 species
AAAGAUUAAGCCAUGCAUGUCUCAGUAUAAGCAUUUAUUUGCAAAACUGCAAAUGGCUCAUUAAAACAGUUAUAAUGUGUUUGAUGGUUGAUUGCUUACAUGGAUAACUUUGGUAAUUCUACAGCUAAUGCAUGCAACCAAGCCUGACUUGUGGGAAGGGCUGAAGUCAUUAGUUACAGAACCAACCCAAGCUCUGCUUGGAAUUUUGGUGAUUCACAUUGACUGAAUGAAUUACAUGGCAUCUGCUGGUAAUAUAUCAUUUCAGUUUCUGACCUAUCAGCUUCCGACGGUAAGGUAUUGGCUUACCGUGGCAAUGACGGGUGACGGAGGAUUAGGGUUUGAUUCCGGAGAGGGAGCUUGAGAAAUGGCUACCACAUCUAAGGAAGGCAGCAGGCGCGCAAAUUACCCAAUCCUGACACAUGGAGGUAGUGACAAG